UUCUCAAACGGGGACUGCCUGUUCGAACUCCGGUACCGGACUCUGACCUAGGUCUGCCAACCAUUGCCCAAUGGCUCAAAUUAGCUUCCAAACGUUUUUUCGAUUCUGCUCCGCACCACCCAAAUCCCCUGGUAGUUGCGGCUUCCGAAUACAUCCCGCUUAGGGACGGUACUGAAAAGUAUCGGCGUCCGAAGGACGUAAUAUACGAUCCCGACGACCCGAUUACCCUAGCCAUAGAGGCAGCCAAUCAGCUCGCGACACCAAACACUUCAGGACCCCGAUACCGACCCCGCCGGCGUGGUCGACGAUUUCCCUCAUUCAGCGCUUAUCGCUAUCGACCCGCUAGGGUCGAUUAAUUCUUUCAAAUAUUUUUCCUCUCAGACGACGCCCUGAGCCGAGGUUCGCGCCCAACUGGGCACCCUCAGGCCUGUUGUCUUAAACGUUGUACCGGGUGAGAGCCUUCAGCGCUCCCCAUUUGUCCGGCCAAGUAGUUAAUGCCAUCUGCGGCA